GGGCACGACACCGGAGAGGGAGCCUGAGAAACGGCUACCACAUCCAAGGAUGGCAGCAGGCGCGCAAAUUACCCAAUCCCGACACGGGGAGGUAGUGACAAUAAAUAACAAUACGGGGUUCUUUCGGAUCUCGUAAUUGGAAUGAGUACAAUUUAAAUCUCUUAACGAGGAACAAUUGGAGGGCAAGUCUGGUGCCAGCAGCCGCGGUAAUUCCAGCUCCAAUAGCGUAUAUUAAAGUUGUUGCAGUUAAAAAGCUCGUAGUUGAAUUUCGGGAUCAGAUUGUCGGUCGUGCCUCGGUACGCACUGGCAUUAUUGGUUCCUACCUUCUGAAGAACCGCGAUGUCAUUAAUUUGGUGUCGUGGGGAAUCAGGACUGUUACUUUGAAAAAAUUAGAGUGUUUAAAGCAGGCGCACGCUUGAAUACAUUAGCAUGGAAUAAUGAAAUAGGACGUUUGAUUCUAUUUUGUUGGUUUCUAGGAUCGACGUAAUGAUUAAUAGGGAUAGUUGGGGGCAUUAGUAUUCAAUUGUCAGAGGUGAAAUUCUUGGAUUUAUUGAAGACUAACUACUGCGAAAGCAUUUGCCAAGGAUGUUUUCAUUAAUCAAGAACGAAAGUU
rnacentral:rRNA from 1 species